rnacentral:sRNA from 2 species
AUGUACCACUCGUACACUCCGGUUCCUGCGCGACGUCUGCGCCCACCUGACAGCUGCUCGCUACGUUUUGUUAGCC